rnacentral:lncRNA from 1 species
AUUUAAAGCUUUUGAUUUGAUUGCAAAAUUGCCCUUUGGAAAGGUUAUCUUAAUUUAUAUUUCUAUCUUGUUUCUAAGUUUCUUCACUAGUGAUGGAAGAGUUAUCUUUUUUAAAAAAGUCUUUGAUAAAAUCAUUCUGGAAUUUUAGAGUGCUAAGAAGACAGAUACUUAAUUAGAUGAUGAGGUCCAUCUGUAUAAGUGGCAUAAACCAUAUUAAUGAAGAGAUCACCAGACCUUAUCGUAGGGUAGUGCCUUACUUGUGUGAAAUAAGAAUGUAGUUGGUACCUCCCACUUGGUAAGUCCCUGUGUCGGAGUGCAGCAUCAGUCCUUUCCCCCAAGCUUGUUUAUAUUAGCAGACACCCUUGUGGUUGUUUCUCACUUGUUUCUGUUUUAUUUCCUAACAAGAUAGCCACUGUUUAGGAGGGCCCUGACUGAGAAAGAGGUUAGCAUCAGGUGUUUUGCGUGAGUGAGGAACACAGGAGAGAACUCAACAAACACGUGAAAUAACAGAAGCAGACUUAUUACUUACGGAUCCCAGCAAGAAUAGGACAGUGUGCCUCGCAAGGCCAGGGGAAGGGGAGAGCCAUCAGCAGAUGGGAGCAGGAGAGAGGAAACAACAGACCUGGGAGCCUAAGUCUUUCCUGGGGUGCAAGUUGUCACCCAAGUAGGUUUCCCAUGGGAAGUUGUAAUUGGUGGGUUUAGAGCAAACAGGGAGGAGUCCCAUGGAUUCAUGCUGCAACUAAGAGGGGGUCUCUGAAGCAUGCCUGUGCAGUCUCUGUGGGUGUGGGGGUCAGUAUGGUUAGUCAAGAAAGAUGUAUGUAGCUGUCUUACAGUGUGAGGCAACACUAUACUGGAUCCAGCACACUGAGGAACUGGGAGGAGACGGAGCCUUGGAAUCUGUAUUGAGGGUGAUUAGCUCUGCUUCUGACAUCAGAAUGUUACACUUCGACUCAAAAUGGACACCGAAGCAACAUAAAAUGAGAUGUAAAAGGAGUGAUGGAGCCAAAGUCAAGGAUUGGAAAACUUCUCAGAUGUCUUUGUGUAACCGGGGCUGAAAGGGAGUGAUUGGAAUCAGAGAAGCUGGUGGGGUGCCGUUGGAAUGAACUGCUUCUUCCAGACAAGGAGUGGAGAGAGCUGGGAAGAGACACCAAGCACCGAGGAACUGGGGCCCAGUCCAUCUCCAGAUUUCUGCAUAUUUCUAUUGUUCAACGUUUAGAUUUCGUAAUUGUAGAUAAAAAGAUUGCUGUAUUCUCAUGGACAUUGGGGAUUGAUGAGAGAUUCAUACUGCACACUCUGUAGCCCUCCUCAGAUCAAUAUUAUCCUCAACAGAGCCCAUUAGGAGCAGAAAAGCACCCAGCAAACUGACAGAUCCACCCAAGUAGGAGACAUUGAAAGCAUCACACACUUCACUAUUAUGUAAGACAAUCGCAUUGCCUUGACUAGCUAUUAAUAAAAUCAGUAAUUCUGAACUUCACUGAGAAACAAUAUCAUGUCUGUGGUAGGAUGAACUAGUAAAAAAUUCAAGGCUUUCCUUCAGCCUGUGUAAAGCCAUGAUUUAUAGGCCCCGUUACUGUUCGUGAAGCCCAAAAGUUGCAUCUACAAUAAUGCUAAUAUUUUACAUGUAGCACAUUUACAAUUUUCUGCCAUACCCUGAGUUAUUUUUAUUUGAUUAUAUUUUCUAUAUAUGUAUGCAGAUUUAUAAUAGUGUAUAACUUUUAAUGUGUAUUCCAUUUGUAAACAAAACUUUUCCAAAGGGUUUAUGUCAAUUUUUAGACUGUUUACACACCCCCAAGAAGUUGACAUAAUAAGUAAAUGAGUCAAGGAUAAAAAUGCAAAUGCCCAAAUAAAAAAGGGCCAAUAGUUACCUUGAAAAAGAGUCAAGCAUUCUGGGAUUUUAAAAUCCAAAGUCC